rnacentral:rRNA from 1 species
UGGGGAAUUUUGGACAAUGGGCGAAAGCCUGAUCCAGCCAUGCCGCGUGCAGGAUGAAGGCCUUCGGGUUGUAAACUGCUUUUGUACGGAACGAAACGGCCUUUUCUAAUAAAGAGGGCUAAUGACGGUACCGUAAGAAUAAGCACCGGCUAACUACGUGCCAGCAGCCGCGGUAAUACGUAGGGUGCAAGCGUUAAUCGGAAUUACUGGGCGUAAAGCGUGCGCAGGCGGUUAUGUAAGACAGUUGUGAAAUCCCCGGGCUCAACCUGGGAACUGCAUCUGU